rnacentral:rRNA from 1 species
CACGUAGUUAGCCGUGGCUUUCUGGUCAGGUACCGUCAAGGUGCCGGCAGUUACUCCGAUACUUGUUCUUCCCUGAUAACAGGACUUUACGAUCCGAAAACCUUCAUCGUUCACGCGGCGUUGCUCCGUCAGACUUUCGUCCAUUGCGGAAGAUUCCCUACUGCUGCCUCCCGUAGGAGUCUGGGCCGUGUCUCAGUCCCAGUGUGGCCGAUCACCCUCUCAGGUCGGCUACGCAUCGUUGCCUUGGUGAGCCAUUACCCCACAACUAGCUAAUGCGCCGCGGGCCCAUCUGUAAGUGACAGCAAAACCGUCUUUUAUCCUUCCUUCAUGUGAAGUAAAGUUUUUAUCCGGGUUAUUAGCCUCCGGUUUCCCGAAGGUUUAUCCCGUAGUCUUACAAGGCAGGUUGCCCAGUGUUACUCACCCGUCCGCCGCUGAAUCCAAGGAGCAAGCUCUUCUUCAUCCGCUCGACUUGC